rnacentral:rRNA from 1 species
UCAGGCCUAACACAUGCAAGUCGAGCGAUGAAGCACCUUCGGGUGUGGAUUAGCGGCGAACGGGUGAGGAACACGUGAGGAAUCUGCCUUCCACUCUGGGAUAACUCCGGGAAACCGGGGCUAAUACCGGAUACUUUCAACUGGCGGCAUCGCCGGUUGAAGAAAGUUUUUCGGUGGAAGAUGACCUCGCGGCCUAUCAGCUUGUUGGUGAGGUAAUGGCCCACCAAGGCGACGACGGGUAGCCGGCCUGAGAGGGCGACCGGCCACACUGGGACUGAGACACGGCCCAGACUCCUACGGGAGGCAGCAGUGGGGAAUAUUGGGCAAUGGAGGAAACUCUGACCCAGCGACGCCGCGUGAGGGAUGAAGGCCUUCGGGUUGUAAACCUCUUCAGCAGGGAAUAAGCGAAAGGAA